GCCGGGCAUGGUGGCACAUGCCUGUAGUCCCAGCUACUCAGGAGGCUGAGGCAGGAGAAUCACUUGAACCCGGGAGGUGGAGGUUUCAGUGAGCCAAGAUCAUGCCACUGCACUCCAGCCUGGGUGACAGAGUGAGACUCUGUCUCAA
ensembl:misc_RNA Metazoa_SRP Metazoan signal recognition particle RNA